GACGAACGCUGGCGGCGUGCUUAACACAUGCAAGUCGAACGGUAAGGCCCUUCGGGGUACACGAGUGGCGAACGGGUGAGUAACACGUGGGUGAUCUGCCCUGCACUUCGGGAUAAGCUUGGGAAACUGGGUUUAAUACCGGAUAGGACCACGGUCUGCAUGGAUUGUGGUGGAAAGCUUUUGCGGUGUGGGAUGGGCCCGCGGCCUAUCAGCUUGUUGGUGGGGUGAUGGCCUACCAAGGCGACGACGGGUAGCCGGCCUGAGAGGGUGUCCGGCCACACUGGGACUGAGAUACGGCCCAGACUCCUACGGGAGGCAGCAGUGGGGAAUAUUGGACAAUGGGCGCAAGCCUGAUCCAGCCAUGCCGCGUGGGUGAAGAAGGCCUUUGGGUUGUAAAGCUCUUUCGGUGGGGAGAAAUUGCACGGGUUAAUACCCUGUGUAGAUGACGGUACCCGACUAAGAAGCACCGGCUAACUACGUGCCAGCAGCCGCGGUAAU
rnacentral:rRNA from 1 species